rnacentral:rRNA from 1 species
ACGAACGCUGGCGGCGUGCUUAACACAUGCAAGUCGAACGGAAAGGCCCUGCUUUUGUGGGGUGCUCGAGUGGCGAACGGGUGAGUAACACGUGAGUAACCUGCCCUUGACUUUGGGAUAACUUCAGGAAACUGGGGCUAAUACCGGAUAGGAGCUCCUGCUGCAUGGUGGGGGUUGGAAAGUUUCGGCGGUUGGGGAUGGACUCGCGGCUUAUCAGCUUGUUGGUGGGGUAGUGGCUUACCAAGGCUUUGACGGGUAGCCGGCCUGAGAGGGUGACCGGCCACAUUGGGACUGAGAUACGGCCCAGACUCCUACGGGAGGCAGCAGUGGGGAAUAUUGCACAUUGGGCGGAAGCCUGAUGCAGCAACGCCGCGUGCGGGAUGACGGCCUUCGGGUUGUAAACCGCUUUCGCCUGUGACGAAGCGUGAGUGACGGUAAUGGGUAAAGAAGCACCAGCUAACUACGUG